CGCCUGGGGAGUACGGCCGCAAGGUUAAAACUCAAAUGAAUUGACGGGGGCCCGCACAAGCGGUGGAGCAUGUGGUUUAAUUCGAUGCAACGCGAAGAACCUUACCUGGUCUUGACAUCCACGGAAGAAUUCAGAGAUGGAUUUGUGCCUUCGGGAACCGUGAGACAGGUGCUGCAUGGCUGUCGUCAGCUCGUGUUGUGAAAUGUUGGGUUAAGUCCCGCAACGAGCGCAACCCUUAUCCUUUGUUGCCAGCGGUCCGGCCGGGAACUCAAAGGAGACUGCCAGUGAUAAACUGGAGGAAGGUGGGGAUGACGUCAAGUCAUCAUGGCCCUUACGACCAGGGCUACACACGUGCUACAAUGGCGCAUACAAAGAGAAGCGACCUCGCGAGAGCAAGCGGACCUCAUAAAGUGCGUCGUAGUCCGGAUUGGAGUCUGCAACUCGACUCCAUGAAGUCGGAAUCGCUAGUAAUCGUGGAUCAGAAUGCCACGGUGAAUACGUUCCCGGGCCUUGUACACACCGCCCGUCACACCAUGGGAGUGGGUUGCAAAAGAAGUAGGUAGCUUAACCUUCGGGAGGGCGCUUACCACUUUGUGAUUCAUGACUGGGGUGAAGUCGUAACAAGGUAACCGUAGGGGAACCUGCGGUUGGAUCACCUCCUUACCUGAAAGAAGC
rnacentral:rRNA from 1 species